AUGGGAUCUCUCCUCAACCACCAGCAGUGUGCUGCAUCCACCUGGAGUACAGAGUACAACGGCACCAGCACGCUCACCACGCACCAGCUAAAGCUAGAGUUUGAAUCAGUUCAAAGGUUGAGCCUCACUCUCCCAUCAAAACUCAACAUGACUAUUGCUAUUAUUACAUUGAUUCUGCUGCUGCACUGCAGUCUAGCUGCUGUGGGUGGAGAUGGUGUUUUUCAAGAGCCUAAAAUUCUCUGGGAACCAAAGAACGGUUCUGCUUCUUUGAACUGCAAUCACAAUAAGGACAGUUCAUACUACCAGAUGUACUGGUACCGACAGCGUCCAGGAGAGACUAUGAGGCUCAUUGUACUCACUGUGGCUAACAGUAAACCAGACUUUGGAGAUGUUGACGAUGAGAAGAAAUUUGAAGCUCACAAAAGUGUUGCUGUAAGUGGAUCGUUGAAAGUGAAAGAUCUAGAGCCAGGCGACAGUGGCAUAUAUUUCUGUGCCGUGAGUCAACACAGAGUUUGA